CGACCCCAGCUCAGGCAAGAACACCUGCUAAGUUUAAUCAUAUAAUUAAGCGGAGGAAAAGAAACUUACAAGGAUUCCCCAAGUAACGACGAGCGAAUCAGGAAGAGCCCAGCAUGAAAAUUGGGUGGCAGCGUCACCUGAAUUGUAGUCUGUAGAAGUGUCCUUAACAGCGGACUAGGCCCAAGUCCCCUGGAAGUUGGCACCUAAGAGGGUGAUGGCCCCAUUGGGUCGGGACCCUGUUGCACCACGAGGCGUUGUCGGCAAGUCGGGUUGUUUGGGAAUGCAACCCUAAUCGGGUGGUAAAUUUCGUCCAAGGAUAAAUACGGGCGAGAGACUGAUAGCGAACAAGUACCACAAGGGAAAGAUGAAAAGGACUUUGAAAAGAGAGUUAAAGAGUGCUUGAAAUUACUGGGAGGGAAGCGAAUGGAGGCCGAUGAUGCGUCUCGAUCGGAUGUGGAACGACUCAAGUUGCUCCCCCGCUCAACUCGAGGUGUGAACCAGCACAGGUCGUUGCAUCCACACAAGCGCGGGUGGAGUACUGCCUAUUGUUUUUCCAUUGUGGCGGUCGAGAAAUGAAGUGUGCACCCUUGGGGCGGGCCACUAUGCACCUACACGCUUGUGGUGUUGGUUGGAGGGAUUUCCAUUCGACCUGUCUUGAAACAUGGACCAAGGAGUCUAACAUGUGUGCGAGUCGGUGGGUUUGUAAACCUGCUAGGCAUAAGGAAGCUAACGGGUGAGAACCCCUCUCCAUGGGGUGCAUUACCAACCGACCUUGAGCUUGUGCGAAGGGUUCGAGUGCGAGCACACCUGUUGGGACCCAAAAGAUGGUGAACUAUGCCUGAGUAGGGUGGAGCCAAAGGAAACUCUGGUGGAGGCCCGUAGUAAUACUGAUGUGAAAAUCGUUCAUCUGACUUGGGUAUAGAAGAAAAAGACUAAUCGAACCAUCUAUUAGUUGGUUUCCUUUGAAGUUUCCCUCAGGAUAGUUGGAGCUCACGUGUGAGUUUUAUCAGGUAAAGAAAAUGAUUAGAGGCAUCGAGGGUGUAACGCACUCAACCAAUUCUCAAACUUUAAAUAGGUAAGAUGGUGUGGCUACUCCAUUGAACCGUGCCACGGAAUCAAGAGCUUCAAGUGGGCCAUUUUUGGUAAGUAGAACUAGUGAUGCGGGAUGAACUGAAAGUCAAGUUACGGUGUCAAACUGCGCACUAACCCAGAUCCCACAAAGGGUGUUGGUUGAUUAAAACAGUAGGACAGUGGUCAUGGAAGUCGAAAUCUGCUAAGGAGUGUGUAAAAACCCACCUACCGAAUCAACUAGCCCUGAAAAUGAAUGGCGUUGAAGCGUGCGACCUAUACUCGAACGUUAGAGAAAUUGUCAGGCUUCGAUGAGUAGGAGGACGUGGGGGUCUUUGAGAAACCUUGGGCAUGGGUUAGUCGAUCCUAAGAUAUGGGGAAGACCUGUAUAAAGGGUGCACACUACAUGAAUAUCGGAAGGGAAUCGGGUUAAUAUUCCUGAACUAGGACAUGGCGGCGGACGACAACGUUAGGAAAUCUAGAGACGUCAUCGGGGCCCUUGGGAAGAGUUAUAUUUUCUUUUUAAUAGAUUUCCCACCCUGAAAUCAGCUCAACCGGAGAUAGGGUCCAACAACUGGAAGAGCAUCGCACGUCUUGCAGUGUCCAGUGUACCCUCAGCGGCCCUUGAAAAUCUGGAGGAUUGAGUACCGUCCAUGGUUGGUCAUACUCAUAACCGCAUCAGGUCUCCAAGGUGAACAAACUCUGGUCAAUAGAACAAUUUAGGUAAGGAAGGUCUGCAAAAUAGAUCCGUAACUUCAGAAAAAGGAUUGGCUCUAAGGGCUGGUCCUAGGGGUCUACAUCCUCAACCCGUGGGUUUUCGAUAGUAUUCUCGAGCUGCUAUCAUGACGAGGGUGGGUAGUCACGUGUUGAUUGGGCUACGAACGUAGAAUGUCCUCUCGUGGGGGAUUUUCCCUAAGCGACGAACAGUCUACUCAUAAAUGGUACAGACAAGGGGAAUCCGAAUGUUUAAUUAAAAAAAAUCAUUGCGAUGGUCCCUGCGGAUGCUGAUGCAAUGUGAUUUAUGCCCAGUGCUAUGAAUGUCAAAGUGAAUAAAUUCAACCAAGUGCGGGUAAACAACGGGAGUAACUAUGACUCUCUUAAGGUAGCCAAAUGCCUUGUCAUCUAAUUAAUGACAUGCAUGAAUGGAUUAAUGAGAUUCCCACUGUCCCUAUCUACUAUCUAGCGAAACCACAGCCAAGGGAACGGUCUUGGAAGAAUCAGUGGGGAAAGAAGACCCUGUUGAGCUUAACUCUAGUCCAAAUUUGUGAAAUGACUUGACAGGUGGAGAAUAAGUGGGAUCCAUUUUCGGUGCAAGUGAAAUAACACUACUUUUAACGUUAUUUUACUUAUUCUGUGGGGUGGAGACGGGGCAUUUCCCUUGUUUUUGGCCUUAAGACACGUUUCAAUGGGUUGAUCCGGGUGGAAGACAUUGUCAGGUGGGGAGUUUGGCUGGGGUGGCACAUCUGUUAAAAGAUAAUGCAGGUGUCUUAAGAUGAGCUCAACGAGAACAUAAAUCUCGUGUGGAACAAAAGGGUAAAAGCUCAUUUGAUUUUGAUUUUCAGUACGAAUACAAACCGUGAAAGUGUGGCCUAUUGAUCCUUUAGACUUUCAGAAUUUGAAGCUAGAGGUGUCAGAAAAGUUACCAUAGGGAUAACUAGCUUGUGGCAGCCAAGCAUUCAUAGCGACGUUGCUUUUUUAUCCUUCGAUGUUGUCUCUUCCUAUCAUUUUGAAGCAGAAUUCACCAAGUGUUGGAUUGUUCACCCACCAAUAGGGAACGUGAGCUGGGUUUAGACCAUCAUGAGACAGGUUAGUUUUACCCUACUGAUGAACCACGCCACAAUAGUAAUUCAACUAAGUACGAGAGGAACCUUUGAUUCACACAAUUGGUCAUCGUGCUUGGUUGAAAAGCCAGUGGCGCAAAGCUACCGUGUGUCGGAUUAUGACUGAACACCUCUAAGUCAAAAUCCAUGCUAGAAGUAGUGCUUGUCACUCCUCGACUAUAUCUUGACCCGUAGUAGGGGUGUUGCUUCGGCACCCCCAGGGGCCCGUGUCACUUGCGAACCUUGACAGGGAAGCGCCUCGGUCGAGGCAACUCUGAAGUUCAAUUUCAAAUGGUCAUUGAGAAGAAUCCUUUGCAAAUGACUUAAAUAUGCGACGAGAUAUUGUAAGUGACAGAGUGGCCUUACUGCCAUGAUCCACUGAGGUUCAACCCUUCUUCACCUCAAUUCAU
rnacentral:rRNA from 1 species